rnacentral:lncRNA from 1 species
UUCUUCUGUGACUCAAUCAACUUCCAGAAUUUAAAUUAUUCUUUAAAUUGUUAGCGUAACUGUGGCAAUAAUAGCAGCAGAGAUGGAGUGGGCCGAUUUUAUUCUACAUAUCUUCUUUGGGAUGUGCAGAAGGCCCUACAAUGCUAUCUGGAGACAUUGUGUGCCAGAAAUUGCCUUGAGAGAAUUUUCUUCUAUGCUUUAUCCUGAACUGUUUAUAUGGCUGUUCAACGCUCUUCCAGCAACUAUUAAAGGAAGCUUGUGCUCAUGCGGUGUCCUGUGAAUGUGACUUGAUGAACAUACCUACCAGAAAAUAAGCUGGGGUAAAGCAGAUGCUGCCCUGGAGAAAAUCCAGACUGUGUGAGAGUGGCAUUUUGCUUUGCUUUCCACAGAAAAAUUGUAGUUGCUCAGCUAUAAA